GCCGGGGUGUUCCACGCGUGGCCUCUGGCCUCUGUAAUCCGACUGACUGCCCGUGUCACAGCUAAUAAUGGCCUUCAUUCCUUAAUCACACAGCGCGGCCACUAAGAACCUAGCGUGAUUCAAUCCACAGAACAAUCCCAAGGCAGACACAACCCUGAUUUUACAGAACAAGGUGAGGAGCUGGGAACUGAGUAAUCGACCCACAGCUGCACAGCUGGCAGUGGCAGGCAGCCCCCCAGCCCGGUCCGGAAGAUCAAGUUCACGUCCACAUUCUCUGUCUUCUCUUGCAGGUGCAGAAGCUUCCGGCAGCUGCCACCACCCAGACAGCUCCAUUCCUGGAUGACAAAACCCUUGCACUUGUUCUGCUCUGGGCAAGAUGGACUAAAAACCCUGCAAGUUGGCCGCAGCUGCUGACCGCUCCGCAUUCCUCGAGCCGUGCCAGGCGCAGUUCAGCGGUGCCUGCCCCCCGCCCCCCUCCCCAGGGCUGCUGGCUCCCAGCACUGCCACUGCACUGGGGGAUGGCCCCGAGCCAGGCGUUCACACACUGGUCUGCGUGGCCCUGGCUCCUGAAAUGUCCUGUCCACCAGCAAGGAGAAAGGAGACCUUGACAUGAACUCUGCUGUUGAAUUCGAAGUUACAUCGGGUGGCUGCUCAUGUGGGAUCUGAAUUCGAGUUUGAACCCUUGUUGCCAAUACCAGGAUCAGGGGUCACUGUGCCUCACUCUCACAAUUCUGUUCAGACACUGACUCCUCGCCUCGGUCUUCCUCCACGGCACACACAGCCUGCAGCACGGGUCCGCCCCAUCAACGAAACGGAGAAUCUCCACUGAAGCCGCGCUGCAAGGCUCACGCCAGGCACACGGAUGCCUCCUCAGACAGCCCGCGGCAGCAGGACAAGCCGAGACUUCUUCCCAGCGCUGCCCUAACCUGGGCAAACCACACACACCACAGGGCUCACAGCGUCCUGAGGCCUGAAGACGACACCCAGAGUGCAGACUGCACAGUCUCCAUCAACUCCAGGGGUCAGGGAGUCUGAUUUAAACACUGAUAAUGGGGUUGUGGGGGGCACAACGCUGUGGCUCAGCUUGUUAAUGCCCCAGCCUGCAGCUGGCGCCAGUUCGAGUCCUGGCUGCUCCAAUUCCAAUCCAGCUCCCUGCUAAUGCACCUGGGAAAGCAGUGGAGAAUGACCCAAGUGCUUGGGCCCCUGCACCCACAUGGGACCUCGCUCCCAGCUCAGAUUGGCAUUGUCGCCUUUUGGGGAGUGAACCAGUGGAAGGAAGACACCCCCCCCCCCCCGUUUCCACCUCUCUGUGUAACACUGUCUUUCAAAUAAAUAAAAUAAAUCUUAAAAAAAAAAAAAAAAAAAAAAAAAAAAAAAAAAAAAACACUGAUAAUAGGGGCCAGCACUGUGGUACAGUGGGUUCAGUUGCCACCUGUGAGGCCGGCGUCCCAUAUGGGUGCCAAUUCUUGUCCCGGCUGCCCCACUUCCGAUCCGGCUCCCUGCUACUGCACCUGGGAAAGCAGUGGAAAACGGCCUGAAUGACUGGGCCCCUGC